GACGAACGCUGGCGGCGUGCUUAACACAUGCAAGUCGAACGGAAAGGCCCUGCUUUUGUGGGGUGCUCGAGUGGCGAACGGGUGAGUAAAACGUGAGUAACCUGCCCUUGACUUUGGGAUAACUUCAGGAAACUGGGGCUAAUACCGGAUAGGAGUUCCUGCUGCAUGGUGGGGGUUGGAAAGUUUCGGCGGUUGGGGAUGGAUUCGCGGCUUAUGAGCUUGUUGGUGGGGUAGUGGCGUACCAAGGCUUUGACGGGUAGCCGGCCUGAGAGGUGGACCGGGCACAUGGGGACUGAGAUACGGCCCAGACGCGAACGGGAGGCAGCAGGGGGGAAUAUUGCAGAAUGGGCGGAAGCCUGAUGCAGCAGCGCCGCGUGCGGGAAGACGGCCUACGGGUUGUAAACCGCUUUCGCCUGUGACGAAGCGUGAGUGACGGUAAUGGAUAAAGAAGCACCGGCUAACUACGUG
rnacentral:rRNA from 1 species